AUGCUUCAACGUACCAAGUAUAACCGCUUCAGGAAUGAUUCGGUGACAUCAGUUGAUGAUCUUAUUCACAAUUUGUCCAUGAACAGCAAGGUCUCAGCAGUUGCUACGACUUCAACAGCACCUUCAUACCUGGUCUCGCCAGAGGUUCUCCGCAAGGACCAAGAAGAUGGACCCACAACCCUGUGUACCCUCAUCCAUAAAGUGUCCCACUUGAAACUCUCUAACACAGGCAACCUUUUGGGUAUCAAAAACCUGUCCUCUGCAGUAAAGGAGCUUGCUGUCUUCAAGUUGCAGGGAAGCUCGAGUGCUUCUAGCUCAGCAGCAGGAGCUUCAGACAACACAUGUAACCUUGUCUCUGCUACUUCGUGUUCUCAGCAGGACGUGAGCAAGAUGAGUAUGGGGAAAAAAACACCAUCAGAGGAAAUGCACCCGGGAGGUGAAGACUGGAAUCAAAGUAGCAGCUUUGUCAAUAAACCCUCUCGAGGAUGGCUGCACUCGAGUGAGAAGAUCCUGGGACCUGGUGUGACGUACAUUGUGAAGUACUUGGGGUGUAUAGAAGUCUUACGCUCAAUGAGAUCUCUUGACUUCAAUACGAGAACACAGAUUACAAGGGAAGCAAUCAGUCGUGUUUGUGAAGCUGUGCCUGGCGCCAAAGGAGCCUUCAAGAAACGAAAGCCACCAAGCAAAGUUCUUUCUAGCAUCUUGGGAAAAAGUAAUCUUCAGUUUGCAGGAAUGAGCAUAAUGCUGAAUAUCUCCACCACCAGCUUAAACCUAAUGACUCCUGAUACAAAACAGAUCAUAGCAAAUCACCAUAUGCAAUCUAUCUCCUUUGCAUCUGGAGGUGAUCCGGAUACAACUGACUAUGUUGCAUAUGUAGCUAAAGAUCCUGUUAAUCGGAGAGCUUGUCAUAUACUGGAAUGCUGUGAUGGCCUUGCCCAGGAUGUCAUCAGCACCAUAGGGCAGGCAUUUGAGCUUCGAUUUAAGCAAUACUUAAGGUGCCCCUCUAAGAUACCUACUUUCCACGAUAGGGUGCAGAGUUUUGAUGAGUCGUGGAUGGAGGAAGAGAGUGAGGCAGCAGAACAUCCCUAUUACAACAACAUCCCAAAUAAAAUGCCCCCUCCUGGUGGUUUCAUUGAUGCCAGACUCAAAGCAAGGAUUCCCACUGCUGCAGACACAGCUCAGUCUGCAGCAGGAGUAGGAAGAGAGCGAAUCUAUUACCAAAGUCGUCACUUAGGAGACAAAUUCAAUGAAGACUGGCAUCAUAAGCCUGUUAAGCAAGGAUCUCUGGAUAUUUAUAGUGUGCCGGAAGGGAGAUCACAAGUAACUCCAACAGCAGAGAUGCCAACUUACGUGAACACUCAGCAUAUAAAUAUGGAAGCUCUAUUGGCACUUCAGGCAGAUGCUGAAAGUACCUUCAGUGGAAACACAGAUAAUACCAAAGAGAGUAGCCCUGGAAAGGAUCUGUUCGACAUGAAACCAUUUGAAGAUGCCCUCAAGAACCAAACUCCUGAGCCUGUGUUGAAUAAAUCCACUUCCAUUGAAUGUACUAGUCCUCUUUUAUCCAGAGCUGCUGACUGGACUACAAUGCAAGAGCUAAGUACAGAGCCAUGGUAUCAAGGAGAGAUGAGCAGGAAAGAAGCAGAACAGCUGUUAAAGAAAUGUGGAGAUUUCCUUGUGAGAAAAAGUACCACAAAUCCAGGUUCCUAUGUGCUGACAGGCAUGCAAAAUGGACAAGCCAAGCAUCUUCUUUUGGUGGAUCCAGAAGGAACCGUAAGUGCUGAUUACAGAGUAAUACAGGCGCUUUCUGACUUCCUGUAUUUUCUCUGAAUAUGUGUAAACUUGUUUACAGCUCAGCCACAACUGAUCAGAAUGACAGCUUCAUGUAAGGUGUCAUCAUAUCCAUUUCUCUCCUGAUGCCUAGUAGAAGACAUACUGCAUGCAUACAUGCACAUUUCAGGGAUAGCAGAAGACCUCCUGCAUAACAUCUGCAGGUGGCCUCAGGGACCUGGUUCCCUAUCAAUGUCAAACUUUGGCCACCACAUUAUUAACUUAGUCAAAAGUGUAGCUAAGACCCUUUUUGGUCUUCUAGCUGAGAAGUUGCUGGCAGCUGUGCAUGUUCAACCAGUGUUUGUGCUGGGAAUUUCCACAUGAUCUCUGUCAGUGAGGAUACAGACCAGGCCCCUCAGGCUAUCAUGUUUUCCCCCUCUUAAGGCCAGGAGACAACUGGAGUAAAACUGUGCCAUCUCUUUGCCACAUCGGGAUAAAAUUGCUUCAUCUCUUUGCUGCACAGGCACUCCUUUAGCUGAUGAAGCUUCCCAGCAGCAGAACAGCAAAUGAAAAGAAACUCCUGUUUCUGCAUCUGUCUGUCGUGCUUCUGGGGAAGCUGAGCCUCACCUGAAAGAGCAUUGCCACACGUUUUAUUCUUGUCCCCUGGUAGCUGACAGAUAGCAACCCCUCUUCCUCUCUAAAGGACAGCUUUAAAAGCCGGAAAGUAAACGAGAAACUCCUGGAAAGGAGGUGGCUUUUUGGCAUCUAUUUCAUCUGAGAAGCCUGAGGAAGGAAGACCAGCAGCAUUACGGCGGUCCUGCAGACUGCAACACCGCAAUGGCCACAGUACUUGUCGGUCUACUUACUUAGCUUCGCCACACGAGGGCAGUCAAAGAAUGUUUUUAACGCUUUUUCUGCGCCGUGUGCCAGGUCCCGGGUUUGGCCUGGACGCCAGGCCGUGCGGGGAGCGGCCUCCGUCUCUAAAAUUUUGGCGGCUGUUUUGUGUCAUAAUUCCCCCUUCAAAAUAAAUGCAGAAAUAGCUGCUACAAGGUUCGUACAAAAGACCGUGUCUUUGACAGCAUAAGUCAUCUCAUCAAUCAUCACCUUGAGAAUAAUUUGCCAAUAGUUUCUUCUGGGAGUGAACUCUGCUUGCAGCAGCCUGCUGAG